rnacentral:rRNA from 1 species
ACGCUGGCGGCGUGCCUAACACAUGCAAGUCGAACGAAGCACUCUAUUUGAUUUCUUCGGAAUGAUUAUUUUGUGACUGAGUGGCGGACGGGUGAGUAACGCGUGGGUAACCUGCCUCAUACAGGGGGAUAACAGUUGGAAACGACUGCUAAUACCGCAUAAGCGCACAGGACCGCAUGGUCUGGUGUGAAAAACUCCGGUGGUAUGAGAUGGACCCGCGUCUGAUUAGCUAGUUGGUGGGGUAACGGCCUACCAAGGCGACGAUCAGUAGCCGACCUGAGAGGGUGACCGGCCACAUUGGAACUGAGAUACGGUCCAGACUCCUACGGGAGGCAGCAGUGGGGAAUAUUGGGCAAUGGGCGCAAGCCUGACCCAGCGACGCCGCGUGAAGGAAGAAGGCCUUCGGGUUGUAAACUUCUUUUAUUAGGGACGAACAGAUGACGGUACCUAAUGAAUAAGCCACGGCUAACUACGUG